AUUUAUGGCCAUAUAACCCUGAGCACACCGAUCUCCUCUGAUCUCAGAAGCUAAGCAGGGUUAGGCCUGAUUAGUACUUGAAUGGCAAACUUAUGGGCUUGUUUGUUUUUGAAACAGGGUUUCUCUGAGUA
rnacentral:rRNA from 1 species